UCUUUCUCUGGAGGUUGCUCCUUGGGGAGUUUCUUGUGAGUCUACAACUGUGUCAUCACUAUGAGCUAUGCAUUUUCACCAUCAAUGAACCGGAGCAUGCAUGUUACGCUUGUAAAUAUCUGCACCAGAGGAGGUGACCUGCUGUCGCCACUGCUGAAACACACAACCCACUGCCUCACUGUGCUCGCAUCUCCUGUUUGAUCUUCAUAAAUGUUCAAAUUUCUAUAACAUGGAAAUGCAUAGAUGGCAGCUUCAUCCAUUCCUGAAGGAAGUAUUAUUCUCAUCAGAAAUACAUUGUUCUGUUAACCCAAACUGGAAUCUUCAACUACGUUUAAAAUUAUCUGUAGGUUAUGCCAAGAGAGUCUUUCUGGAAAUAUUUUUACUUGUUCUGGAAGUUUCAGUCUUGUGGACUUACCCUCUCCCACAUAUGGCAUCUGAUCUUCUAGGAAGUUUUGUGGAGUGAGACAGACAAUGUAUACUAGACUGAGUAUAUUAACACAGUGAUACUCAAGGUAAAGCCUGUUUUGUUCAGUUGCAAAGGAGUGUUAGCAGACAGAAACACAAAGAGAUACUCUAAGGUAGCUGCUAUUAUAAUUUUUUUUUUCCUGUGGAGAACUCUUUGGCCUUUCUUUCCUUCAGUUCUAUAUAGUUUAGAAUGUAUAAUACUACUUUCCAGUCUCUAGGGGUUAUAUUAAAGACAAUCUUAUGAAAAAGCUUUUAGAUGCUUUGCGUUACAUGGAGGCUACAUACAUAUAUUAGGGGUGUGUGCAUAUGCAGUUUACAGUACACUCAGUAAAUAUGGCUUUUAUAACUUGAUAGCUUUUCACAUAAUGAAAAGGGGAAAAAAAUGC
rnacentral:lncRNA from 1 species